rnacentral:rRNA from 1 species
UGGGGAAUAUUGCACAAUGGGCGAAAGCCUGAUGCAGCAACGCCGCGUGCGGGAUGACGGCCUUCGGGUUGUAAACCGCUUUCAGCAGGGACGAAGGUUUUCUGACGGUACCUGCAGAAGAAGCACCGGCUAACUACGUGCCAGCAGCCGCGGUGAUACGUAGGGUGCGAGCGUUGUCCGGAAUUAUUGGGCGUAAAGAGCUUGUAGGCGGUCCGUUGCGUCGGAAGUGAAAACUCAGGGGCUUAACCCCUGAGCCUGCUUUCGAUACGGGCGGACUUGAGGGAUGUAGGGGAGAACGGAAUUCCUGGUGGAGCGGUGGAAUGCGCAGAUAUCAGGAGGAACACCAGUGGCGAAGGCGGUUCUCUGGACAUUUCCUGACGCUGAGAAGCGAAAGCGUGGGGAGCAAACAGGCUUAGAUACCCUGGUAGUCCACGCCGUAAACGGUGGGCACUAGGUGUGGGACCCAUUCCACGGGUUCCGUGCCGUAGCUAACGCAUUAAGUGCCCCGCCUGGGGUAGUACGGCCGCAAGGCUAAAACCGUCAAAUUGAAUUGACGGGGUCAUAGCUGUUUU